CACCUCUCAGGGUCGCACCUGGAGAGUUUCCAGUAUGCUAUCAGUCUCGACUACAGAGGGAGAAUCAAGCAGAGAUGUAUCCUUUCCAUUCCUGGCUUGGACAGUGGCUAGUGAGUGGAAGACAAUCUGCUACAAGU